UACGGGGGGAGCAAGCGUUGUUCGGAUUUACUGGGCGUAAAGGGCGCGUAGGCGGUCGUGACAAGUCACUUGUGAAAUCUCCGGGCUUAACUCGGAACGGUCAAGUGAUACUGUCGGACUAGAGUGCAGAAGGGGCAACUGGAAUUCUCGGUGUAGCGGUGAAAUGCGUAGAGAUCAGGCGGAACACCCGUGGCGAAGGCGGCCAGCUGGGCCGUCCCUGACGCUGAGGCGCGAAGGCGUGGGGAGCGAACGGG
rnacentral:rRNA from 1 species